rnacentral:rRNA from 1 species
ACACGUAGGGGCCUGACGUUGUUCGGAAUCAUUGGGCGUAAAGGGCGCGCAGGCGGCCGUCCAAGUCCGGUGUUAAAUGGUCGGGCUCAACCCGAUCAUGCGCUGGAAACUGGGCGGCUUGAGUCCCGUAGGGGACGCCGGAAUUCCAGGUGUAGGGGUGAAAUCUGUAGAUAUCUGGAAGAACACCGAUGGCGAAGGCAGGCAUCUGGCCGGAGACUGACGCUGAGGCGCGAAGGCGCGGGGAGCGAACAGGUUUAGAUACCCUGGUAGUCCGCGCAGUAAACGAUGCGCACCAGGUGUCGGGCGGCAGCGCCCGGUACCGGAGCUAACGCGAUGAGUGCGCCGCCUGGGGAGUAUGCCCGCAAGGGUGAAACUCAAAUGAAUUGACGGGG